rnacentral:rRNA from 1 species
GCAUAUCAAUAAGCGGAGGAAAAGAAACCAACAGGGAUUGCCCCAGUAACGGCGAGUGAAGCGGCAAGAGCUCAAAUUUGAAAUCUGGCCUCCUCCGGGGGUCCGAGUUGUAAUUUGCAGAGGAUGCUUCGGGUGCGGCCCCCGUCUAAGUUCCUUGGAACAGGACGUCAGAGAGGGUGAGAAUCCCGUCUUGGGCGGGCGGCCCGCGCCCGUGUGAAGCUCCUUCGACGAGUCGAGUUGUUUGGGAAUGCAGCUCUAAGCGGGUGGUAAAUUUCAUCUAAAGCUAAAUACUGGCCGGAGACCGAUAGCGCACAAGUAGAGUGAUCGAAAGGUUAAAAGCACCUUGAAAAGGGAGUUAAACAGCACGUGAAAUUGUUGAAAGGGAAGCGCUUGCGGCCAGACUCGGGGGCGGGGUUCAGCGGGCGCUCGUCGCCCGUGCACUCCCCGCGCCCCGGGCCAGCAUCAGUUUCGACGGCCGGUCAAAGGCCCCCGGAAUGUGUCGUCUCUAGGGACGUCUUAUAGCCGGGGGUGCAAUGCGGCCCGUCGGGACUGAGGAACGCGCUCCGGCUCGGAUGCUGGCGUAAUGGCCGUAAGCGGCCCGUCUUGAAACACGGACCAAGGAGUCUAACAUCCACGCGAGUGUUCGGGUGUCAAACCCGUGCGCGCAGUGAAAGCGAACGGAGGUGGGAGCCUUUGGGCGCACCAUCGACCGAUCCUGAAGUCUUCGGAUGGAUUUGAGUAGGAGCGUGGCCGUUGGGACCCGAAAGAUGGUGAACUAUGCCUGAAUAGGGUGAAGCCAGAGGAAACUCUGGUGGAGGCUCGCAGCGGUUCUGACGUGCAAAUCGAUCGUCAAAUUUGGGCAUAGGGGCGAAAGACUAAUCGAACCAUCUAGUAGCUGGGUUCUGUUGA